UUCACGGAGAGUUUGAUCCUGGCUCAGGACGAACGCUGGCGGCGUGCUUAACACAUGCAAGUCGAGCGAGGCCCCUUCCUUCGGGGAGGGAGCCCUAGCGGCGAACGGGUGAGUAACACGUGGGCAAUCUGCCCCUAGCACUGGGAUAACCCCGGGAAACCGGGGCUAAUACCGGAUAUGAUCUCUGAGGGCAUCCUCCGGAGAUGGAAAAGAUUCUGGCUAGGGAUGAGCCCGCGGCCUAUCAGCUUGUUGGCGGGGUAAUGGCCCACCAAGGCGACGACGGGUAGCCGGCCUGAGAGGGCGACCGGCCACACUGGGACUGAGACACGGCCCAUACUCCUACGGGAGGCAGCAGUGGGGAAUAUUGCACAAUGGGCGAAAGCCGGAUGCAGCGACGCCGCGUGAGGGAUGACGGCCUUCGGGUUGUAAACCUCUUUCAGCUCCGACGAAGCGAAAGUGACGGUAGGAGCAGAAGAAGCACCGGCCAACUACGUGCCAGCAGCCGCGGUAAU
rnacentral:rRNA from 1 species